GAGUUUGAUCCUGGCUCAGAUUGAACGCUGGCGGCAUGCCUUACACAUGCAAGUCGAACGGCAGCGCGGACUUCGGUCUGGCGGCGAGUGGCGAACGGGUGAGUAAUACAUCGGAACGUACCCUGUUGUGGGGGAUAACUAGUCGAAAGAUUAGCUAAUACCGCAUACGACCUGAGGGUGAAAGCGGGGGACCGCAAGGCCUCGCGCAGCAGGAGCGGCCGAUGUCUGAUUAGCUAGUUGGUGGGGUAAAGGCCCACCAAGGCGACGAUCAGUAGCUGGUCUGAGAGGACGAUCAGCCACACUGGGACUGAGACACGGCCCAGACUCCUACGGGAGGCAGCAGUGGGGAAUUUUGGACAAUGGGGGCAACCCUGAUCCAGCAAUGCCGCGUGUGUGAAGAAGGCCUUCGGGUUGUAAAGCACUUUUGUCCGGAAAGAAAACGCUCUGGUUAAUACCUGGGGUGGAUGACGGUACCGGAAGAAUAAGCACCGGCUAACUACGUGCCAGCAGCCGCGGUAAUACGUAGGGUGCGAGCGUUAAUCGGAAUUACUGGGCGUAAAGCGUGCGCAGGCGGUUUUGUAAGACAGGCGUGAAAUCCCCGAGCUCAACUUGGGAAUUGCGCUUGUGACUGCAAGGCUAGAGUAUG
rnacentral:rRNA from 1 species